UACGUAGGUGGCAAGCGUUGUCCGGAAUUAUUGGGCGUAAAGGGCUCGUAGGCGGUUUGUCGCGUCGGGAGUGAAAUCCACUGGCUUAACUGGUGGCUUGCUUUCGAUACGGGCAGACUGGAGGUAUGCAGGGGAGAACGGAAUUCCUGGUGUAGCGGUGAAAUGCGCAGAUAUCAGGAGGAACACCGGUGGCGAAGGCGGUUCUCUGGGCAUGUCCUGACGCUGAGACGCGAAAGCGUGGGGAGCGAACAGG
rnacentral:rRNA from 1 species